rnacentral:rRNA from 1 species
GAGCCAGACUCCUACGGGAGGCAGCAGUGAGGAAUAUUCGUCAAUGGCCGAGAGGCUGAACCAGCCAAGUCGCGUGAGGGAAGACGGUCCUAUGGCUUGUAAACCUCUUUUGUCGGGGAGCAAAAGACGCCACGCGUGGCGUUCCGAGAGUACCCGAAGAAAAAGCAUCGGCUAACUCCGUGCCAGCAGCCGCGGUAAUACGGAGGAUGCGAGCGUUAUCCGGAUUUAUUGGGUUUAAAGGGUGCGCAGGCGGAAUGUCAAGUCAGCGGUAAAAUUUCGGGGCUCAACCCCGUCGUGCCGUUGAAACUGGCGUUCUUGAGUGAGCGAGAAGUAUGCGGAAUGCGUGGUGUAGCGGUGAAAUGCAUAGAUAUCACGCAGAACUCCGAUUGCGAAGGCAGCAUACCGGCGCUCAACUGACGCUCAUGCACGAAAGCGUGGGUAUCGAACAGGAUUAGAUACCCGUGUA